rnacentral:piRNA from 1 species
UGUUCUAUGGGGUGCACCGAUGACUCUUUGU